AAAGCGUGCGCAGGCGGUUGUGUAAGUCAGAUGUGAAAUCCCCGGGCUCAACCUGGGAAUUGCAUUUGAGACUGCACGGCUAGAGUGUGUCAGAGGGGGGUAGAAUUCCACGUGUAGCAGUGAAAUGCGUAGAUAUGUGGAGGAAUACCGAUGGCGAAGGCAGCCCCCUGGGAUAACACUGACGCUCAUGCACGAAAGCGUGGGGAGCAAACAGGAUUAGAUACCCCAGU
rnacentral:rRNA from 1 species